rnacentral:rRNA from 1 species
GACGAACGCUGGCGGCGUGCCUAAUACAUGCAAGUAGGACGCAGUUGCGAACGGGUGAGUAACGCGUAGGUAACUGCCUAUUAGCAGGGGAUAACUAUUGGAAACGAUAGCUAAUACCGCAUACUAGUAGAUGGAUCUUCGUUGUAUUAGCUAGUAGGUAGGGUAAUGGCCUAACUAGGGGACGAUACAUAGACGACCUGGGAAGGUGAACCGCCAAACUGGGAAUGAGAAACGGCCCAGAAUCCCAAGGGAGGGAGCAGUAGGGAAUCUUCGGAAAAGGGGGGAACCCCGAACGAGCAAAGCCGCGGGGGUGAAGAAAGUUUUCGGAUUGUAAAGCUCUGUUGUUUAGGAAGCGGUACUUAAACAGAAAGGGACGGCUAACUACGUGCCAGCAGCCGCGGUAAUUC